GCCUCGGUAGUGCAAUGUAUGCAAGCGCCCCUGGAAAGGGUGGAAUGCGAGUUCAACUCCCGCCCAAGGCA